CCGACUCUAGUACUAGCCGUGCUGAACAACGUGGCAACACCGCUCACGUGACAAUCGGGAGUCCUAUUUUCAAUAAUGGGAGUCUUGUACUUCGGAUUAUAAUUAUCGCUUUUUUUCAUAGAAAAUAAUGUUAAAAUAUACAAUUCUUUAUUGAUUAUGUAUAAGCAAUAUAUAAAUAUUAUAACUAUGCGGUUUCAUGAAAAUUGAGGUAUGAAGCAAAAUGAAAUCAUCUUUGGAUCAAAUUGAAACAUUUAAGAAUUGAUAAAUGUGUAUAUGAGUUAAUAAAAACUUGAAACAAGCGAAAUUAUCGGAACGAAGCCAAAGAGGUUAUGUGAACAUGUGGAAAAGAGAAUGCAAAAAUUGGGACUCUAAAUUGGCAUCAUUUAUUAUGGCUUCCAUUAUUGCAUAUAUAUGUGUAAAUGAGGCUACCACUUCUUCAGUUGGAACAGAAAGGCCUCCUCUUUCAACUGCAUGGGACCCAUAGCCAGCUAUAUAUAGCAUGACUGAAUCAUCUAUAACACAAUUGGACAAGUAAUCAGUAUCAAAUAUUUCCUGAAAAGAAGUUACAUCAAUGGAAAGAUCAUGAAGAUCAUCACCACUUACAUCACAAAUCUGAAAUUUAUCUUUAAUGUCAGUGAAAGAAAACGAAGCUGCCGAUUUUGUAAAUAUAUGUUUUAAUCUAAUUUUUUUCUCUGCAUGAAGUGCUUCAUUAUAUGAAAUAUGA